AUUGAACGCUGGCGGCAGGCCUAACACAUGCAAGUCGAGCGAGCGGCGGACGGGUGAGUAAUGUAUGGGGACUGCCCGAUAGAGGGGGAUCACUACUGGAAACGGUGGCUAAUACCGCAUACUAUCGGAUAACCCAUAUGGGAUUAGCUAGUAGGUGGGGUAAAGGCUCACCUAGGCGACGAUCUCUAGCUGGUCUGAGAGGAUGAUCAGCCACACUGGAACGGAUACACGGCCCAGAACCCAACGGAGGCAGCAGUGGGGAAUAUUGCCAAAUGGGCGCAAGCCUAAUACAGCCAGGCCGCGUGGAUGAAGAAGGCCUUAGGGUUUUAAAGUACUUUCAGCGGGGAGGCGUUACCCGCAGAAGAAGCACCGGCUAACUCCGUGCCAGCAGCCGCGGUAAUUC
rnacentral:rRNA from 1 species